rnacentral:rRNA from 1 species
AAAGCUUUUGUGGUUUUGGAUGGACUCGCGGCCUAUCAGCUUGUUGGUGGGGUAAUGGCCUACCAAGGCGACGACGGGUAGCCGGCCUGAGAGGGUGACCGGCCACACUGGGACUGAGACACGGCCCAGACUCCUACGGGAGGCAGCAGUGGGGAAUAUUGCACAAUGGGCGCAAGCCUGAUGCAGCGACGCCGCGUGAGGGAUGAAGGCCUUCGGGUUGUAAACCUCUUUCAGUAGGGAAGAAGCCGAUCUUUCGGGGUUGGUGACGGUACCUGCAGAAGAAGCGCCGGCUAACUACGUGCCAGCAGCCGCGGUAAUACGUAGGGCGCAAGCGCUAUCCGGAAUUAUUGGGCGUAAAGAGCUCGUAGGCGGUUUGUCGCGUCUGCCGUGAAAGUCCGGGGCUCAACCCCGGAUCUGCGGUGGGUACGGGCAGACUAGAGUGCAGUAGGGGAGACUGGAAUUCCUGGUGUAGCGGUGAAAUGCGCAGAUAUCAGGAGGAACACCGAUGGCGAAGGCAGGUCUCUGGGCUGUAACUGACGCUGAGGAGCGAAAGCAUGGGGAGCGAACAGGAUUAGAUACCCUGGUAGUCCAUGCCGUAAACGUUGGGCACUAGGUGUGGGGGACAUUCCACGUUUUCCGCGCCGUAGCUAACGCAUUAAGUGCCCCGCCUGGGGAGUACGGCCGCAAGGCUAAAACUCAAAGGAAUUGACGGGGGCCCGCACAAGCGGCGGACCAUGCGGAUUAAUUCGAUGCAACGCGAAGAACCUUACCAAGCCUUGACAUGAACCGGAAUGAUGCAGAGAUGUGUCAGCCACUUCUGGCCGGUUCACAGGUGCUGCAUGGUUGUCGUCAGCUCGUGUCGUGAGAUGUUGGGUUAAGUCCCGCAACGAGCGCAACCCUCGUUCCAUGUUGCCAGCGGGUUAUGCCGGGGACUCAUGGGAGACUGCCGGGGUCAACUCGGAGGAAGGUGGGGACGACGUCAAAUCAUCAUGCCCCUUAUGUCUUGGGCUUCACGCCUGCUACAAUGGCCGGUACAAAGGGUUGCGAUACUGUGAGGUGGAGCUAAUCCCAAAAAGCCGGUCUCAGUUCGGAUUGAGGUCUGCAACUCGACCUCAUGAAGUUGGAGUCGCUAGUAAUCGCAGAUCAGCAACGCUGCGGUGAAUACGUUCCCGGGCCUUGUACACA